UACAGAGGUCCCAAGCGUUACUGAGAAUCACUGGGUUUAAAGGGUGCGUAGGUGGUCCGUUAAGUUCGUUGUGAAAGCCCUGGGCUCAACCCAGGAACUGCUUCGAAUACUGGCGGACUUGAGGCUAGUAUGGGUCACUGGAACUGACGGUGGAGCGGUGAAAUGCGUAGAUAUCGUCAGGAACGCCAAUGGUGAAGACAGGUGACUGGGCUAGAUCUGACACUGAGGCACGAAAGCGUGGGGAGCGAACGGG
rnacentral:rRNA from 1 species